rnacentral:rRNA from 1 species
CGUGUAGGCGGCCGGUUAAGUCAGGUGUGAAAGCCCAGGGCUCAACCCUGGAAGGGCACUUGAAACUGAUCGGCUUGAGUUCGGGAGAGGGAAGCGGAAUUCCUGGUGUAAAGGUGAAAUUCGUAGAUAUCAGGAGGAACACCGGUGGCGAAGGCGGCUUCCUGGACCGAAACUGACGCUGAGACGCGAAAGCGUGGGGAGCAAACA